UACGUAGGGUGCAAGCGUUAAUCGGAAUUACUGGGCGUAAAGCGUGCGCAGGCGGUUAUAUAAGACAGAUGUGAAAUCCCCGGGCUCAACCUGGGAACUGCAUUUGUGACUGUAUAGCUAGAGUACGGUAGAGGGGGAUGGAAUUCCGCAUGUAGCAGUGAAAUGCGUAGAUAUGCGGAGGAACACCGAUGGCGAAGGCAAUCCCCUGGACCUGUACUGACGCUCAUGCACGAAAGCGUGGGGAGCAAACAGG
rnacentral:rRNA from 1 species